UCUCUCCUCUUCUUUUUUUCUCUCUCUGUGGUCUGCUGCACUACACUGAGCGAUAACCGCCUGAAAUGCAGACCUGAUUGAGCGAAUAAUGUAACAUGGUGAAGGAAUAAUUAUAUUUUGGUUGUCAUACAUUGUAUAUGUGAAUGAUGAAGUAUGUUUUUGCUUGCUAUGUGCAAAGAAGAAUACUUGUUCGCGAGGAAAUACAUGCUUGAGAUUCACUCCUUUGCACCAGUUAUAUAUUGUGUGAAAAGAGGAACGAUGUCUCACAAUCU